AUUGAACGCUGGCGGCAUGCCUUACACAUGCAAGUCGAACGGCAGCACGGGAGCAAUCCUGGUGGCGAGUGGCGAACGGGUGAGUAAUAUAUCGGAACGUGCCCAGUCGUGGGGGAUAACGUAGCGAAAGCUACGCUAAUACCGCAUACGAUCUACGGAUGAAAGCGGGGGAUCACAAGACCUCGCGCGAUUGGAGCGGCCGAUAUCAGAUUAGCUAGUUGGUGGGGUAAAAGCUCACCAAGGCGACGAUCUGUAGCUGGUCUGAGAGGACGACCAGCCACACUGGAACUGAGACACGGUCCAGACUCCUACGGGAGGCAGCAGUGGGGAAUUUUGGACAAUGGGCGCAAGCCUGAUCCAGCCAUUCCGCGUGCAGGAUGAAGGCCUUCGGGUUGUAAACUGCUUUUGUACGGAACGAAAAGGCUCUGGUUAAUACCCGGGGCUCAUGACGGUACCGUAAGAAUAAGCACCGGCUAACUACGUG
rnacentral:rRNA from 1 species